CCUACGGGAGGCAGCAGUGGGGAAUUUUGGACAAUGGGCGCAAGCCUGAUCCAGCCAUGCCGCGUGCGGGAAGAAGGCCUUCGGGUUGUAAACCGCUUUUGUCAGGGAAGAAAAGGUUCUGGCUAAUACCUGGGACUCAUGACGGUACCUGAAGAAUAAGCACCGGCUAACUACGUGCCAGCAGCCGCGGUAAUACGUAGGGUGCAAGCGUUAAUCGGAAUUACUGGGCGUAAAGCGUGCGCAGGCGGUUAUGCAAGACAGAGGUGAAAUCCCCGGGCUCAACCUGGGAACUGCCUUUGUGACUGCAUAGCUAGAGUACGGUAGAGGGGGAUGGAAUUCCGCGUGUAGCAGUGAAAUGCGUAGAUAUGCGGAGGAACACCGAUGGCGAAGGCAAUCCCCUGGACCUGUACUGACGCUCAUGCACGAAAGCGUGGGGAGCAAACAGGAUUAGAUACCCUGGUAGUCCACGCCCUAAACGAUGUCAACUGGUUGUUGGGAGGGUUUCUUCUCAGUACGUAGCUAACGCGUGAAGUUGACCGCCUGGGGAGACGCGCGAGUAGAACGUAAGAGUAGAGNGNGAGAGNGCGAGCGACGACGAGGGAGGAGG
rnacentral:rRNA from 1 species